UUUCUCAUACAAAUCUCAUCAUCCAUUUUAAAACUUGAUUCAAGAACCAGAUAUAAACCAAAACCCCAGAACUAUGGACUAUCUAUAUUUGCCUGGAUCACCUCACAUACAAUGAUGACCUUCAUUUAAAAAGCCUUUUCUUAUAUUCAAUGUUUUAACUCCCAGAGUUUUCCACCCAACAGUAGAACCACAGUACUCAGAAUUCUCAGCCAAGGAGUAUAUAAUCCUACUACUACAAUGUAUUACUUCAGCACAUUUUUUAAACAUGUUAAGAUUGAAAAUCAAAAAUGAUUCAACCAAUUCAGAUUGUUA